UGAAAAAAAAAAAAAAAAAGAAUAUUUACAUACAAAAGAUAAGGCGAUGAUAUUUAGCGAGUACUGGAGGAUAAAAAAAGCAAUCUAGAAAGAGAAACAUACAAUUGUACACAACCUAGAGGACUGUUAGUAUGUUAAAGAAUGCUUUAGAUGUACUGCUUAAUUAAUGUAUCUAUGAUUAUAUAAUUAGGUAGUAUUAUUUUUGGUUAAUGAGUUUGAGAUAAAGAUUAAAGAAUGUUAAAUGUUUGGAUUGCCAGGGUUAUAAUUAUACAAUGAUUGGGGAAUACAGAUUUUGGACUGGAAAUCAUAAUGCUUGGUAUAUUUUGGGUGUGUGUUUCUUUUUAAUUAUGUGUUUGGGAUAAACAAUAUGCAAAAUGAUAAAGAUUAGAUUGUUAAUUAGAACUAUAAACUAAUGUUAAUGGG
rnacentral:misc_RNA from 1 species